UGUGCACUUGCAGAUCAAAUCAGACACUGACAGACACAGAGAACAUAUCCAUUUCCUAAUCAGUAAGGUGGAUGCUGCAACAUUUACAGACAUAUCAGAAGUGGAGACGUUUGUGAAAUGGAUAGACGACGAACUAUCUUCCUUGGUCGACGAAAGGGCAGUCCUAAAGCAUUUCCCUAAAUGGCCAGAACGUAAAGCAGAUUCACUAAGAGAAGCUGCUUGCAGCUACAGAGCGCUAAAGAGCCUUGAAACUGAGAUUUUGUCGUUCAAGGAAAAUCCAAAGGAACCUCUAAAGCAGGUCUUGCAAAAGAUUCAGUCGUUACAAGACAGGCGAGCAUGUAUAAAGAUUAGAGCUACUAGUAAACAACUUGAUCUAUUCAAUUACAAUGUCAUUAAAUGUUCAAACUUUCAGGUUAGAAGAAGCUGUUAACAGCACAGAGAGAACAAGAGACAGUACAGGGAAGAGAUACAAGGACUUUCAGAUACCGUGGGAGUGGAUGCUCGACGCAGGAUUGAUCGGACAGGUAGGUAACUGAUUAGCUGCGAUACACCAAUAAAAUCAAAUUAUGAUGGAAACUAUCAUAUAGGGAUGUAAAGAUACCUUAUAAUUUAUUCUAAGCAAACUAUAAGUUACAUCUUUUGUAAUGAAUCAGCCAUUUAACCAACUUCAAGAAAAGUAAAUGAAAUUUUACCUUAUUGCAGCUAAAAUACAGCUCGCUGAGGCUAGCUCAGGCGUACAUGAAGCGAAUAACAAAGGAGCUGGAAUCAAAUGGAGGAGGUAAAGAAGGAAAUCUAUUGCUUCAAGGGGUCAGAUUUGCCUACACAAUACACCAGGUACCAAAAAAAAAAAAGAGUCAUAAAGUAAUCUGCUUAAUAAAAGCCAUGUUCAUGUCUAUUCAGUUAUUUCCUCAAUAUUUCAGUUUGCUGGCGGUUUUGACGAAGAAGCAUUACGCAUAUUUAACGAGCUAAAGAAGAUGGCUACAAGUGAAUCCCAGAAGAUAAAUAAGUAACGGUUCACAACUUUAAAAAAACUCCGAGUCGAUUUUGAGUAUUAAAAGACGCAUGUUGACUGGUGCAGCAGUGAGACAGUAGGUAUAAGUGUAACCGAUAGAUCCGAUCCAGAAGCUCACCGCAAGCUCGAGAACCGGUAAAUCAAAGUCUAGAAGACGACCACGAAGGAAGAAAGAUCAUCCCGAAGAACAGAGUUUCAAUGGUGAAUGAUGAUGAACAUGAUGAUAGAGAGAGUUAGGGUUUAAGAAGAUUGUUUUAAUGUUUGAUUUAUUAUUCCCAAAUGGGUAAACGUUUACAUAUAGUGUUUACUAAACCAAAGCUAAACCAGAAAGCUAAACCAAAAUGCAUAAAUGAAAUAUCUAAACCGGAAUUAACCAUAAUUCCUGUCACAAUACUUCCUCCUUCAGAACAUCCUUGUCCUCAAGGAUGAUAAGAACUUGGUGCCGAAACCAUCAUAAUAUCUCUGUUGAUCUUGCUCUGCUAACAUCUCUGGUGGUCUUUGUGGAUGAAAUACUUCACCGACACAAACUUCAGCAAACCAAUGAUUAAAAUAGCCAAUAUUACCAGCCAUUGAAGUAAGCUCCAGCUUUUGUACCUCCCUGCAGUAUCUGCUUUGUUCCAACUUAAUCUUGAGAGCCUGUUGUUGUGUCUCAUUCCUGUCUCUCUCUUGUCUCUUAUCGUUGUACUUGAAUAUCCAAGCUUUUGACUGAAACAUCGCAAUAGUUCUUCGGACUUCAACGUGAGAUGAUACAACCUCUUCUCUUGCUUGGCCAGUGGUGCCACAACUUGAUACAUCCUCAUUUCUAGUACCAGCAAAUAAUGAUGUUAAGAUCUCAUCCCUUAGCUCUAGUUUUAACCCUUUGAGUUUCUUCUUUAUUUUCCUGAACUCUGGAGGCCGUGGCAAUGAUCCAUAGAACAACAGAAGUGACAUUAUGUAGAUACAUAUAAUUUGUAGCUUCAUGAUAUCUCUGUCUCCGUAACCUCUGAUCAGAUAAGAAAGCUUGAGUGUGGCUCCAUUUCCAUUGUACUUAUGUUUCUCAGUAACUAGGAAGGAAUCAUCAAAGCUCCAUGUGUUCGUAACUGGCGUCAUCUCCUUUGAUAUACAAAUGACAAUAUCCACGUGUGGCUGUGUCAACUUAGUGCAUCGCUGGCCUUGAAUACAACUUGGCGAGGUAACCCUUUCACCAAAAAUCAGCCAUCUUGAUGAAAAGAACCUUACUCUUUUCUGCCAUGUCCACAACCUUAGAAACCAGCCACUGCAAGCUUGACAAGUCUGUUCUGGAGGAUACCAUUUCCACUGCAAAAGGAACUCAAAGAAGCUACAGUGUCGGCUCUGUUUUGUUAAUAGACUCCAGACAGAAGCACUAAGAAAAUAUUCUUGCAUCAUGUGCCUUAACACCAACCCUUCAACCUUAACAAGAUCACAACUGUCACAGUAUUUAUUUCUCCACCACAUAUAGAAGGAGAGCAUUUGAACAUCCGGGUUGCUAAGCUCAGCUUCUGAUCAUGUUGUACUCGAACUUGUGACAGCUCUUUGUUGGAAUGAGCAAGUACACUCUUAAAGUUGUUAAGCAAAGGAUGACCCGAGUCUGUUGUAGCGCUAUCUGAGAAUGAAAGCUUUCUUGUUUCCUGUUUAUUCUGUUGAGACAAAAUUUGCAAAAAACACUGCUUCAGCAUAGUCUCACAGCUACAGUGUGCAUGAUUCUCUUGAUAAACUGGAUAUCCAGACUUAGUCUCCUGCUCCCGAACUGAAUAUGCAUUCAUGCAACAACUUGGGAAGAGCACAAUGUGAUCCGUAGUGAUUUCCAGGCAUGAAAACGAUUCCAAUAGCCUAGAUCUCCAUUUGUGCUUCAAGUGGAACUUUAUAUCAGCAAGAGUAAGCUGUCUCAAGCCUAAAACUAGCUGUGGCCUACUGCAAGGCAUAACUGGUUCCGGAACGUUCAGUAACGAGUUAACGUCUGACGCUGCCUUCUCCAAUGACCUGAACUUCUCUAGAUUUUUCAGUGAACUCUUCUCAUCAAGCUUUAUCAUCACUGAACAAACCAACUCUAUCAUGUGAAGCCAUCUCAUCAUGCUUAUAGAUGCAGAGCCUACAACUGUCAGACCACAUGAUUUCCUCAUCUCUUGUAUAACCAUAUCAUCAAAGCUAAUAUCAAACGGAGGCGUUAAGAUCGCAAGAGCAAACGUAGCUUUUAAUCCUCCACGCUCCCAUACACGUCUUGACUCUUUAACAAGCAGUGACAUCAGUUUCUGAUACUUACAAACAUUGGUUGCUAGCCUAAUCCAUGUUUCAAGACUAAGAUCAGAAAGUACCUUGAAGCUCUUCCUCUCAUUCACCGACUUAGUUUCUGCCGAUUGAAUGAACAUCUCCAAACCAUUUCUAAGAAGGUUUCGUGUGGGUAGGUACUUGUCUAAGCAGUUCCAUGAAGUUGGCUUGGCAAUAAGCCCACCUGGUUCCCAUACGUGAUCAGCCACUUGAGAUUUCUUGCCCACCAUGUGUUCGAUGUUAUUCCCAAGAGAGAAACUCAUGUUUUCUUCUGCAACACUUUUGUUUUGAGCUUCUUUUGGAUCUGCAGCAUAAACAACCUGUAAAUCUGAAGUCAAACCCUCCAACGAUUCAGAGAAAGAAUCUGGCUUCAUCACAGUUUCAAUAACAAGUUCAUCAGAGUCGGCCAAGCUUUCUUCAACCAUGGGUUUGUGGUCGCUUUCAGUCACGACAGGUUGGUCGUCACUUUCGAUCAUGAGAAUCUUCACCCCUUUGUGCUUCAAAUCAUGAUGACCAGGCGUGUCUCGUUCUUCACAAAAGAUACACAACCCAUUUGACAUCCUCUCUUCGAUUUCUUCACAGGAAUACUUCAGAAGGGUCUUGCUUUUUCUUGCUUUGGGUUUGUAGUUGAACGAUGGAGCCUCCAUCGCAGCUAUUGUCCGAGAACCGUAAGGCUCUGAUACCAUUGAGACAGGAAAACAAGUAAUGAUAGAUAAACCCAAUCCAGAGGUUCACCGAGAACCCGGAGAUCAGAGAAUCAAAGCCUAGAGGACGACCACGAAGGAAGAAAGAUCAUCCCGAAGAACAGAGUUUCAAUGGUGAAUGAUGAUGAACAUGAUGAUAGAGAGAGUUAGGGUUUAAGAAGAUUGUUUUAAUGUUUGAUUUAUUAUUCCCAAAUGGGUAAACGUUUACAUAUAGUGUUUACUAAACCAAAGCUAAACCAGAAAGCUAAACCAAAAUGCAUAAAUGAAAUAUCUAAACCGGAAUUAACCAUAAUUCCUGUCACAAGCAGCAAGUAAGAGAGUGUGAAGUAUGUUGUAAUCUAGCUUUUAAGAUUACGCAUUAGACAUGUAAAAGACUAGAGCCUAAAUUAUUGUUCUAUAAUUCAAUCAAGUAUAUUGUUCUUGCAUAGAUAUUAAUGUCUACGUGUCUCGUUCUUCAUCUCAACGCAACCAGCACGGAAACGUAUCACACACUCCAAUCUAGAGACUAAAACUGGAAUUGAAACUUGCAGAUGCCAAUACACAAAUACCACUAGAGUUAUAGAUGAGUGUAGGGAAGCAAACCUUCACUAAACGAUCUACUCUAGUUCAGCACUUUCUGUGCAUAUACACAUUAGAGUAACAAUCUAUCAUACGAAUCAUCCUAAUACACAAUCCAUCUUAAGUCCGAUACACAAUCCACCAAAUCUCGAACCUCCGGAACGAAAACUUCAGGAGACGACGGAAAAUAACAAAAAAAAACGAAGAAGCGAAUGCACAAACCUCGGUUAAAUUCUUCGAUUCUAGCUUUCCUCCGCAGUUUUUGAAGUUUGCUCGAGCUCGG
rnacentral:lncRNA from 1 species